GUGCUCACUUCAGCAGCACAUAUACUAAAAUUGGAACAAUUCAGAGAAGAUUAUGACCCCUGCGCAAGGAUGACACACAAAUUCGUGAAGCAUUCCAUAUUUAA
ensembl:snRNA U6 U6 spliceosomal RNA